CCUGACUCCCUUCUGCCAUGUUUUCAUGCUCUGCCCACAGCCUUGACCCAACAACAGACAUGGUCAUAAAUCUUCCACAAAGUCCACAAAACACAUCAAGACUGCUAGGGAAACUCAAACCCAGCCACCAGCAUCUUCAUCAGAGAUCUGAUUCCAUAACUGCAUCCUAAUUUCAAGUCUUUCCAAGCCUCAUCAACUGUGUGGAGAAAGACAAAAGUAUCUUGUUCAGAGAGGGGUCAGACAAAGACCAUGGUUUUAGGAAGCCUUAGGGAACCUAGACCCGAGCCCUGCCCUUGGAAAGUUUUUGUUUUUACGGCUAACCUGUCGGAAAUAAAACAAGAACCAGUAGCAGGCAAAACCUCUUGGGAUUCUCAAAAUGUACUUUGUUUUUUCUAUACUGGCUCAAUCAGCCUGCUUAUCUCUUCUGCUCUUUCAUAAAACCUGUUUCUCUCAAAUCUGACACCAUUUCAAAAAAAAAAUAUAUUGUAUCUUUCAAUGAUUAUGAGGAGGCCAGGGUGGUUGUUGCUCAAGUGGGAAUUGCUCAACAUUAAAACAUCUUUUUAGAGUCAUUUGUGUGUUACAUUAGAGCUCUGGGUUUAAAAUGAGUAACUCUUUCUGUUUAGUAAGUUGUAUUAAAGAGUUAUUAGACAGCAAAACACUGGUACAUUGUGACAAAGUGAAGGAUUGGCUUUCCCCACUGUUUUCAGUGCUUCUGUAAAAAAUAAAUGAAGUUUAAAUCAAA